rnacentral:rRNA from 1 species
CUGCUGCCUCCCGUAGGAGUCUGGGCCGUGUCUCAGUCCCAGUGUGUGGGGCCUUCCUCUCAGAACCCCUACGCAUCGUCGCCACGGUGGGCCGUCACCCCGCCGUCUAGCUAAUGCGCCGCAUGCCCAUCCGCCACCGGAUCGCUCCUUUGGCCACCGGAGGAUGCCCUCCGGUGGCGUCACGGGGUAUUAGGCCGCGUUUCCGCGGGUUAUCCCCCUGUGGCGGCCAGGUUGCAUACGUGUUACUCACCCGUGCGCCGGUCGG